UGGGCAGAGGGAUCCUCCUCCCAUCAUCACUGGUGCUGCUUUCUCAUCAUUUAUGAUGAGCUUAAGUACUUGGUUGAAUUGGAAGCUUCUGGUGAUGGCGAUUCAACCACCUCCCUGAACAGCCUGUGCCAGGCUUGGAGAACCCUUUCAGUCAACACAUUUCUUCUCAUAUCCAGCAUAAACCUACCCCAGGGCAACUUGACGUCAUUUCCUCUCUUAAUCACUUGGUACUACUGAAGAGACCAACCUUCACCUCACUCCAACCUCCUUUCACGGAGUUGUAGAGAGCAAUGAUAUCUCCCCCCAGUCUCCUCUUUUCCACACUAAACAUCUCUAGGUCUCUCAGAUGUUCCUUCCCAGGCCUGUUUUCCAGAUCCUUCCCCAGUUUUGUUGCCCUUCUCUAGACCUCCUCCAGCCCCUCAAUGUCCUUCUUUCAGUGAGAGGCCCAAAACUGAAUCUGGUACAAAAGGUGUAGCUGCACCAGUGCCAAGUCCAGGGGGCAAUCUCUUCCCUGCUCCUGAUUGUCACAAUAUUGUUGACCCAGGCCAGGAAGUUGGUGACCCUCCUGACUAAGAAUUUCUUUCUAAUCUGUAGUCUAAAUCUCUUCUACCUCAAAUCAAUUGCCUCUCUUCCUAUUACUGCAAACACUUGUAAAAAUUA